rnacentral:rRNA from 1 species
GAUCAUGGCUCAGAUUGAACGCUGGCGGCAGGCCUAACACAUGCAAGUCGAACGGUAACAGGAAGAAGCUUGCUUCUUUGCUGACGAGUGGCGGACGGGUGAGUAAUGUCUGGGAAACUGCCUGAUGGAGGGGGAUAACUACUGGAAACGGUAGCUAAUACCGCAUAACGUCGCAAGACCAAAGAGGGGGGACCUUCGGGCCUCUUGCCAUCGGAUGUGCCCAGAUGGGAUUAGCUAGUAGGUGGGGUAACGGCUCACCUAGGCGACGAUCCCUAGCUGGUCUGAGAGGAUGACCAGCCACACUGGAACUGAGACACGGUCCAGACUCCUACGGGAGGCAGCAGUGGGGAAUAUUGCACAAUGGGCGCAAGCCUGAUGCAGCCAUGCCGCGUGUAUGAAGAAGGCCUUCGGGUUGUAAAGUACUUUCAGCGGGGAGGAAAGGAGUAAAGUUAAUACCUUUGCUCAUUGACGUUACCCGCAGAAGAAGCACCGGCUAACUCCGUG